rnacentral:rRNA from 1 species
AGAGUUUGAUCCUGGCUCAGGAUUAACGCUAGCGGCAGGCCUAAUACAUGCAAGUCGAGGGGCAGCGAGAGUAGCAAUACUUGUCGGCGACCGGCGCCCGGGUGCGUAACACGUAUGCAACCUACCUUUAACUGGGGCAUAGCCCCGAGAAAUCGGGAUUAAUACCCCAUAACAUUGCGAAGAGACAUCUUUUUGCAAUUAAAGUUUUAACGGUUAAAGAUGGGCAUGCGCGACAUUAGCUGAUUGGUGAGGUAACGGCUCACCAAGGCUACGAUGUCUAGGGGUUCUGAGAGGAUUUACCCCCACACUGGUACUGAGACACGGACCAGACUCCUACGGGAGGCAGCAGUAAGGAAUAUUGGGCAAUGGGCGCAAGCCUGACCCAGCCAUGCCGCGUGCAGGAUUGACGGCCCUAUGGGUUGUAAACUGCUUUUGUACGGGAAAAAACCCCCGGUCGUGUAUCGGGGCUGAUGUUACCGUAAGAAUAAGCAUCGGCUAACUCCGUGCCAGCAGCCGCGGUAAUACGGAGGAUGCAAGCGUUAUCCGGAUUCAUUGGGUUUAAAGGGUGCGCAGGCGGAGCGAUAAGUCAGUGGUGAAAGCCUACAGCUCAACUGUAGAAUUGCCAUUGAUACUGUCGUUCUUGAGUAUAGUUGGAGUGAGCGGAAUGUAUCAUGUAGCGGUGAAAUGCAUAGAUAUGAUACAGAACACCAAUCGCGAAGGCGGCUCACUAAGCUAUAACUGACGCUCAUGCACGAAAGCGUGGGGAGCAAACAGGAUUAGAGACCCUGGUAGUCCACGCCCUAAACGACCACUCGAUGUUGGCGAUAUACAGUCAGCGUCUGAGCGAAAGCAUUAAGUGAUCCACCUGGGGAGUACGAUCGCAAGGUUGAAACUCAAAGGAAUUGACGGGGGCCCGCACAAGCGGAGGAGCAUGUGGUUUAAUUCGAUGAUACGCGAGGAACCUUACCUGGGCUUAAAUGGGAGAGGACAGCUGCCGAAAGGUGGCUUUCCGUAAGGACCUCUUUCAAGGUGCUGCAUGGCUGUCGUCAGCUCGUGCCGUGAGGUGUCGGGUUAGGUCCCAUAACGAGCGCAACCCCUAUCCUUAGUUGCCAUCAGGUAAUGCUGGGAACUCUAAGGAAACUGCCUACGCAAGUAGUGAGGAAGGCGGGGAUGACGUCAAGUCAGCACGGCCCUUACGUCCAGGGCUACACACGUGCUACAAUGGCUGGUACAGAGGGCAGCUACCUGGUGACAGGACGCAAAUCUCAAAAACCGGUCUCAGUUCGGAUCGAAGUCUGCAACUCGACUUCGUGAAGUUGGAUUCGCUAGUAAUCGGAUAUCAGCAAUGAUCCGGUGAAUACGUUCCCGGGCCUUGUACACACCGCCCGUCAAGCCAUGGGAGUUGGGGGUACCUAAAGUCGAUAACCGUAAGGAGUCGCCUAGGGUAAAACCAAUGACUGGGGCUAAGUCGUAACAAGGUA